rnacentral:rRNA from 1 species
GACGUAGGGCGCGAGCGUUGUCCGGAUUUAUUGGGCGUAAAGAGCUCGUAGGCGGUUUGUCGCGUCGUCCGUGAAAACUCACAGCUUAACUGUGAGCUUGCGGUCGAUACGGGCAGGCUAGAGUUCGGUAGGGGAGACUGGAAUUCCUGGUGUAGCGGUGAAAUGCGCAGAUAUCAGGAGGAACACCGGUGGCGAAGGCGAGUCUCUGGACAUUUCCUGACGCUGAGGCACGAAAGCCAGGGGAGCAAACGGG